GCGUGUAUGGCAUAGUGGUUUUAGUGUUGGACUAUGACUCUGGAGACCAGAGUUCGAUUCCUAGUUCAGCCA